rfam:Clostridium chauvoei JF4335, WGS project CBML01000000 data, contig: 00001
GGGGGCGUUUUGGCUUCGACGGGGGUAAGAUGGGUUUGAUAAGCGGGUGGAGGCAAGCAUGUCACCUCCUUAAUAAAGUAUGCAUUAAAGAUAAACGCAGAAGACAAUUUUGCAUUAGCAGCUUAAUAUAAGCUACUCAUCAGUCCGGGAUGCCCACGUUUCGGGUAGCUGGUGUCAUAGAGUGGGAAACGAAGUCUAACAAAGCUUUGAGUUAGAGGGGUAUUUAUGAAGCUAGGAAAUAGGAAGUUUGUUUGUGAGCAACCUAGGACCGAAACCUUAAUCACAAACUACACUCGUAGAAAUUCAGAUUGGUCUGCUUUCGGACACGGGUUCGACACCCGUCGCCUCCACCA